rnacentral:rRNA from 1 species
CCUACGGGGUGCAGCAGUGAGGAAUAUUGGUCAAUGGACGAGAGUCUGAACCAGCCAAGUAGCGUGAAGGAUGACUGCCCUAUGGGUUGUAAACUUCUUUUAUAAAGGAAUAAAACGAGGCACGUGUGCCUUUUUGCAUGUACUUUAUGAAUAAGGAUCGGCUAACUCCGUGCCAGCAGCCGCGGUAAUACGGAGGAUCCGAGCGUUAUCCGGAUUUAUUGGGUUUAAAGGGAGCGUAGAUGGGUUGUUAAGUCAGUUGUGAAAGGUUGCGGCUCAACCGUAAAAUUGCAAUUGAUACUGGCAGUCUUGAGUACAGUUGAGGUAGGCGGAAUUCGUGGUGUAGCGGUGAAAUGCUUAGAUAUCACGAAGAACCCCGAUUGCGAAGGCAGCUUACUAAACUGUGACUGACAUUGAUGCUCGAAAGUGUGGGUAUCAAACAGGAUUAGAUACCCCAGUAGUC